rnacentral:sRNA from 1 species
GCCGGGUGAGGUGGCACAUGCCUGUAAUCCCAGCAACAUGGGAGGCUGAGGCAGGAGGACUGUGAGUUUAAAGCCAGCCUCAGCAAAAGCGAGAUGCUAAGCAACUCAGUGAUACCCUGUCUCUG